UGGUCGGUGUACGAGGUGGUGCAUGGCUGUCGUCAGCUCGUGUCGUGAGAUGGUUGGGUUAAGUCCCGCAACGAGCGCAACCCUUGUCUUAUGUUGCCAGCACGUAAUGGUGGGGACUCGUAAGAGACUGCCGGGGUCAACUCGGAGGAAGGUGGGGACGACGUCAAGUCAUCAUGCCCCUUAUGUCCAGGGCUUCACACAUGCUACAAUGGCCAGUACAGAGGGCUGCGAGACCGUGAGGUGGAGCGAAUCCCUUAAAGCUGGUCUCAGUUCGGAUCGGGGUCUGCAACUCGACCCCGUGAAGUCGGAGUCGCUAGUAAUCGCAGAUCAGCAACGCUGCGGUGAAUACGUUCCCGGGCCUU
rnacentral:rRNA from 1 species